CUGCCUAAGGCGAGACGACGAGGACGGCCAGGAGGGAGAUGGAGACGAGCAGGAUCUGCAAGUUAUUUCGGCGCCGGUGCAACACCAAGAAAGGACCUCUGAGACGGUGACCAGGAAAAAAAAGGAAAAAAAAAAGAAAGAAGGAAAAAAGAAAAAAAACUCUCUCCCCGGUAGUUAGAUUCUGUUCCUUACUGUUGGUGGAUUUUUUUUUUUUUUUUUUGAAAAGUGCUUUUCAGUGAAACUGUUCACGUUCAAGGAUUUGAUCAAGUGAGAGGGUAACACCACACGGGGGGAGGAGCCGCGAGCCCUGCCAAGCCGCCGCCGCCGCCGCCGAAAUACACCGCGAGUCACCAGCCGCGCUGCGCCGCGCCGCGCCGCCGGGGGCCAGGGCCGGGGGCGGGAGCGGGACACCGCACCGCGCCAAAUCAGCUGGAGCAUCACCCGGCCUUUUCUCCUGAUUUGCGUACCACGGACACAGCCAUCCAGAGCACCGCUCCAAAGCCGGCUCCAGGCAUGUGGAUAUGUCCUCUCCUGCUGCCCUGGAGCCCUGCAGCAUCCCUGCCUGGCCCUGGGAGCUCGCGUGUAUGCAUGGGAACCCCAGCAGCCCUGUCACCUUCCACCGGCUGGGAAAGGAGACGGGUAGUGUUUAUUUUAGAGGGGAAGAGAAACAAGAAAGAACAAUUUCUGCAGGCAGCUCACUGUAGUAUCACCUUGGGAUUGUGCUGGGAGAAGGAGCGAGGAAGGUGUAUGUCCUUAGAUCACGGCAGUGCCCCCCCCCCAUCACAGGGAUGCAACGAUCCCCCGGCCCAGGACACCUACUUUGUGCUGGCAGAGCCCACGGAGCCUUUGCAGCUUCAGCCCUGGACAAGGUGUGAGUAUUUGCACAGUGUGAAGGGGAUGGAGCACGCUGCCUCCUUCCACGGCUCUGGGGCGUCCCCCAUCCUCCAGGGAGCCACCCUUGUCAUAGUCAUCAGUGCGGGUGCCACGUCCCUCCGGAGCUAUUUACUGCAGCAACACAUCGGCACUUUCUCUCCAGAUCAAAUCCACAGUCAACCUCCCCCCUUCUCCUCUCCCUUUUGAAGGGUGUCAAUAAUUAGUGUUAUGCUAAUCGUCCCACCCUCCCACGUACCACACAGCCAUUCUUUGCCAUCCGAGGAUGGAUCUGCCACUGCACGGCUCUCCCCGCAGUCUCUCCCCUGCACUGCCUGUCCCAGAGCGGGGACAGCUCAACAGCUUUCCCCCCAAGCCCCGCAAUGUAGGUCUUUUAACACGGCAGAGAGUGGAGGGACAGAGAAAGGAUCAGUGAUCGCAACACCCUGACUGGCAGAGCAGUGGGGGUUCCCUGGUAGCCAGUGCCCUGCAUUAGCCACCUCCUGCUGCAAAGCGUUUAGCUCGGGCUGGGGAGGUCUCCGUGCAGCCUAGCUGCAGCUGGGGAGAGUGAGAAGCAGGCUGGAAAAGGAAAGAGGGGAUUGCAAACACUGCUGGCUGUUGCAAACGAUGGGACCUGUCACUAAAGGGCUGUCCUGCAAGAAGGCAGAAAAGGGUCUGGGGUGGCAACUGGCUUGCAGAGGAAAGCACAAGCAGUACUGGGGCCAUGGCGGGGGGGAGAGCCGGGCUGCAGCCAGGGCCCCUACCCGUGGGCACAGCCCUGCCGAUGGCAGAAAUCCCAAUAACACAGAGAGGGAAAGAGGGAGGUGGGGGCAGGGAAAGCAAAUCACCCACCCCCAAUGCAAGGGAUGUUAUUUCUGACCUGUAUUCAGCUCCCUUUCAAAAUACGCUGCCAAAAUGUUUAGGAGCCGACAUUUGUGUCAGAGCAGUGACGGGGGCUUGAGCCAGAGCUGUUCCAUAACCACAUGCACACAACCGUGGGCGAGGAGAUGGCAGGAGUUGCACAAACCAGCAGCAGGGGCUGCUUUGCAUGCACAGAGCCAGGCUCGCCCCCAAGACUGCACCCUCCAGACGCUUGCAAAGGAACAACAGAGUAUGGGUAGGGGAAAGUAUCUUAAUUCUCUCUCCCUAGAUUGACUGCUGCAAGAAGACUGUCCCAAGUAUAGGGCAUCAGCAGCACACAUCCCCAUCCCUGGAUUUUGCCAUUGCCGUGCACUGCAAAGAGAUGCACUGCCCACCUAAUGCCAGCCUCACCCAAUGGGGCUGCAACUGUGACACACAGCAAUUGUCCCUGAGCUAUGCUUAAAGUUUCUCCAGUCCCCUGGGUCCAGCAGCUCCCUGCUGCUCUCAAAGCUCUCUGCAUGUCCAGAACCACUGUCGCCACAAGUAAAAACCAUCACGGGUCUAGCAAUUGCUGCUGGGUGACCACUACUGCCAGGAGAGCAGUUCACCCAGAUCCCUUUAUCUUCUCAGCCUUGCUGGAUACUGUUUAAGACCUAGUCCCUGUUCACACCUGGAUCAGCUCCUCAUUUCUGCAAUAUCAUCUCUAUUCUCUGGCUUCAUGAUCAAAAACCCACCCACACCAAAACAGGACCUAUCUACACAUCUCCCUUCCCAAAUCCUGCCAGUAAAAGGCAUUGCUCCAUGUUUACCAUAUCCCUCUUUGUCACCGAAGAACCCAGCUGUAUGAGACACCACACAGGAUGUGACAGGCUUUUAUCCACAGGUGUGUUCACCAGCAUUUUCUUCAGGGCGCUACUUCCAGCACUCCAGUAGCAGGUCUUUCCUACCCUGCAGAUUAGACAGCAGUUACUUGCACCUAAAAUCACCACCUGUGCUUAUCACCCACAUCUGCCACAUUCAGGGACAGUCCCAGACAAUCACUUCAUACCCUAUCAGCGAGACUACCCCAAGCUCUUACUUGUCAGUCAGAUACCCACAGAAAGGACUGGUGUUCCUAAAGCCCUGGAAACCCUUCAGCAGAACCUGCUUAUUACUGUUAAAUAACAGGUGGCACUGCCGAAGUCGCACUGAUAAUGCCUUUUAAAACCUCUCCCUUGCCAGAUCCCCUGGCCCUUAGCAGAGGCCUUGGUGCCAAAGAGAUGCAGCAGUUGCUCUCUACUCCCUUUCCUUCUCCAGAAGACAAAGGUAACAUGAGCAACACCCCCAUCUCCUGCACAACUUGUGAACUGCGAGCCCAUCACCAGCACCAAGUGAAGGGCCUUAUCCAGCUCACACCAUUCCUGGUGCAGGAAUACCAGGUUUGCUCCAGGCCUGGCCUGGUGCACAAUACAGCGACAGUGAGGAAGUCAUUCACCAGCCCCAGAUUAGCACGGUCUAUAUCCAAGAAUAGAAAUAGAAUAAUCCAACACAGUAUCCAUUACAGGCUGUUUUAAUCCCUGGUCUAAUCCAUUACAAUCUGCUUUAAUCCCUAUCCACCUACAAACAUCCAUUCAAAGAAGCAGGGGUUGGUGUUAUAUUCUGUUGGGCCAUGUUGAUUUUUAAUUGAUCGCUUAGUGAUGUAAGGCAACCAUAUGCCAUAACACAAGGCACCACAGCAGAUUUCUAAGUAAGUAAGUAAGUAAGUAAAUGUUCUGAAAGGCAAAUUGUCACACAAAUAUAAAGUAGCAGAACAUGCCUAUAACCAAGGGGAAGCUGGGUUCAAUUAAGGAAAGAGACAA